UAGAAAGUAAUAUAAAGGAAGUAUGGAGGGUUUUGAUCCCUCUUGUACAGGUUCGAUUCCUGUUUUUCUAA
rnacentral:tRNA from 1 species